GGGGACUCCACAACACAAAGCUAGAUGUGCCCUCUCAAACUUUUUGUUCCCCCCUUCUUCUCCACGACGCACGGCGACGCGCGCAGAGCAAGAACACACACAAAAAAAAACAAGAACAAAAAAAACACCUCCAGGGAUCUGUCCGUAAGGUGGAUUUAACACCAGAUUAACCAGCAAAGCGUUUUCUCCAGUUGGAGGUUAAGCAAAGGAAAAUAUGUGGAAAUCACAUGGAAGAUGUACAGAGUCACCUAUCAAGCGGCUUUUAAGACGCAGAGGAGGAUUAAGAGACUGUGCAGUUUUCUUUGGGAGAAGGUGAGGACUCAUCUCAGAAGGAUUUAAACCUCAGGAGCAGCAGUGCCAGGCGGGAUGCAUUUUAGGCACGCUUGGAAAAUCCGAAACCCAUGGAGACACUUUAAGGAUUAUAAAAAAAAUGUGUAGUGUGUCUCUCCACGAGACAGCGUCCCGGCCCAAAGUCACUGGGAGAGCAGGAUAUUGCUUCUGUGAUCCUCCUCGGCCCUCCGCAUGGGAAGUGUGGAAGUGGUGAGGUCUGGGAGAUCACAACCUUAAUUCUCUCCAAGACAGACAGUUUAAUUAACAGUGGAGGAAUCCUCACUGGCUCCAGACCUCCGCCCUGGGAAUGUACAGGGGAAUUGGACUGCUAAGGUGUGGCAGAGAGGGUCAGAAGGGGAAGUCCACUGGGUCUAGACUGGGACUAUUACCGGGUAAAGGCAACGUGGGACCCUGAGACAGAUCAUAAGCUGCAGAUCGCCAACAGGCAAAGCUGGUCCUCUGAUAAGGCAGGAUGGCAUCAGGUAUAAGGUUGUUCACAAAGGGUGUAAAGAGCUACACGACCUCUAGGGACCGCUACAGUCUCUUACUAUAUUACAUCCAAAAAAAUGCUCUAGAGUUUUAAGGUCUUAAUUAAACCAGCAUUGUCUUUUUAUAUUGCAUUAUGUUCACAUGAGACACAGAGACGUCCACGUUCUUAUUCUAAUUCUGAUAGAUAAUGUUAGUGGGACUUUGGGCAAAGGAAUUUACAAUGAAAGGGUAAAAAAUAUAUUAAAUAUUCAAAUGAUUUCACUGGAGCUGAUUGUGUGCAAUAUCAUAUAUCGUCACAGGCGAUUUUAAAUCGUUCUAAAUUCAAACGUGUUCAUAUUUACAUGCAUUCAUCUUUAAUUAUGUUUGCUCUCUCUCUCUCUCUCUUUCUCUCUUUGUGUGUGUGUGUGUGUGUGUGUGUGUGUGUGUGUUUAAUGCAGCUCUGCAACGAAACCUGUGUGGAAAUGGAGAAGAAAAUGACGAUAAACAGGAAAACUGCUUGAUGGAGUUAAUUAUGCAUAUCAAACACGUAGAUGGUAACAUGUUCGUCAUCUCCGUUGUCAUAUAACUCCUUUUUCUGCUACUAAAGUAUUUCACUUGGAAUAUUUCAGCAAACAUCUGGUGGCUUUGGGUUCUCACUUAGGAGGCCAGGAUGUGCAUCCACCAAGGGUUAUCCAGUGUUACUUUUAACAGGAUAUCACCGUCUGUAAAUAAGUGAGAAAAUCAUACUGCAUUGAUGUUGUUUUGUGUGUUAUAUGGUGUGAAUCAUGACUAUUGGUGCAAAGUCAAGACAAUUGAGUUUGAAGAGCUCUAUAAAGAUUGCCAUGAGCUUUACUACGUUGUACAUCUGUGAUAUAUUUGAAAAAGCCUAUUGUUGUUUAUGCUCACAUGAGACAUGAGAAAGUUAAUUUGCUGUCCACACUUUUGUUCCACAACAAUGCAUGCUCCUCUUUACGGUACACUUUACGGUUUUUCCUAAUGCUUCUCAUGUAUGUAGAAUAUGUGUAUCGGAACAAUGUAUGCAUCUAAGGAUUCACAGUGUUAUGCGCUCUGUAUCUGUUAAGAAGUAGUAAUCCCAAUGUGGUCACGGGGCAACAAAGACGACAUUAACGACAUUGUACUCAUGCAAUAUGUAAAGGUCUGUGAAGAAGUAUUCCCACAGUGUACAGCUCUAAUGUGACAAUAUAUGUACAGGGCUCUCACUUUUAUCAUCCCACCAUAGAUUAUUAAUGCAUAUUGUAUUGUUCUGCGACAAAUCUAGGUAAUAUAAGGUUGAAUAUAAUUUUUAAGGUUCUCUCAGCAGACUAAUGAAAACAUGGGACUACACUUGUCAUUUUGACAAUCGAGCAGUGUAGGAAUGAUGCACUGUAUAAAGUGCCUCUUCCUGUGCAACGUCUUCUACAUCUGUGUUUUAAAGCCCUUAAAGUAUUUAAGAGUUGAGUGGUUUGUUGCAGGGUGCUGUGGUAAUGUCAGUAGAGACUUAAGAUGCAAAGUGAGCAAUGUGUCAUAAAUACACUGAAAGCCUUCUUUAGCCAUGGUUUCAUAAUAUGUUUGUGGUUCACUCACUGUGUGUUCUUUAAUGUUGCACGUCCAGUUUGACCUGUAAUGAUAGAAACAGAACCGGUGCACGGGCUGUGCAAAGUGUGUAUAUGUUUAUGUGUAUACAUUCAUUUCAUUUCCUUUAUUUUAUUUGUGCAUUGCCAAACAUAUACAUAGUCAAUUUCAUACCGCAUGCAUAGUCAAAGUUGUUUUGAAAUCAUGAACGAGUGUCUCUUGUUUCCCCUGUCUGUGUGUGUGUGUGUGUGUGUGUGUGUGUGUGUGUGUGUGAAGGCCAAAUGUUUGAUUAACAACCACAAAAGCGAACUGUUUGCCUGUCUGUUUCUUGCUCUAUAAUAACUAUGUGCAUGCGACCGUGAUUCAUGCCCAUUCUUUGCAAUGAGCGGGGCCUCACACCCCCACGCGACGACCAUGGAUAGGAACCAACUUCAAAAAUAAUAAUAGAUGUACUUUACUUCACGUACCCUCUACAAUUAUGUGGUUUCCAUUUGUUGUCUUCAUCGUCCACAACGACCUUGUUUAUUUCUUUUCUUUUAUUAAAAAACACAUCACGUGUAUUCGUGACAGAACCUUCAUACAUUUCCGUGUCUUCUGAACUAUAUUUUCUCUUACAUCAGGUUCUGAUUAUAUUUGGUUACUUCUUAUGUAUGACUUAAGAAGUAUGUAUGACUUGA